rnacentral:lncRNA from 1 species
GCAUACUGACAGUUGUGCUUGCUUUGCGUGAAGUAUUGUUGUCUCUACCUUCUUGUCCUUUGGGCUGUUGUCUGUGCCCAAUAAUGUUUGUACCAUGUUUUGUGCUGCUACCAUGUUGUGUGUCGCUACCAUGUUGUUAUGUUUUGUUGCUACCAUGCUGUGUUGUCAUGUGUUGCUUCCUUGCUAUGUUGUUGUCUUAGGUCUCGUCGUGAUGUGUGUCUUGUCCUAUAUUUAUAUUUGAUUAAUUUCUUUAUUUUUUGUCCCCGCAGGAGGCCGUUUGCCUUUUGGUAAACCGUCAUUAUAAACAAGAAUUUGUUCUUAACUGACUUGCCUAGUUAAAUAGAUAAAUACAAAUCAACGACAUCUCACCUGCCCAGACCCACCUGCUCACAACCCCAUUUCCAGCGCCAGCAUUACUCUCCGCCACAUGGCCUCAAACUGCACAAUUAUGUAUGUCUCUGUUGCCCACGCACUUUCAACAUUUAGAUAACAAAGCAUUUUUCCUUUCCAUUGUGUUAUUAACUAUGGCGGAUUGGUUGAUUUCCAGUUUUUGUAUACUUUUUUUCAAGAUGAUUGACGAGAAAAGUAUCGUCCAACCAUUCGGAUUCCUCUGGUGUCCAAUAGGAUUCCCCUCAAGAUUCCUCUGGUGUCCAAUAGGAUUCCCCUCAAGAUUCCUCUAGUGUCCAAUAGGAUUCUCCUCAAGAUUGCUCUGGUGUCCAAAAGAUUUCAAAUCGAAAUCUCAUGAUCUGAAACUUUUAAAUUGCAUGUAUUUGAAAAUAUGUACAUUGGUCAGUCCAAAAUUGUCAUGAAAAUUCAUGUAUUUCCAAUUACCAAGCAAUUUAGGGUUAAUGUUCUUAGCUCUAUCCUUUGAAAAUAGACACUUAAAAUGAUUCUGUGGAUGAGCAUGCUCAUCUUCAAUAUGUACCUAUUGUUCCUCUUUAGUGCAUUUAACUAUAUGUCGCAAGUACAGUAAAAGCCUUGGGUGGCGAGUUGGAAAGUAUAAAAUCUCCCUCAGACCUAUGAAGAUGUAAUUACUUUCCUUUUUAUUCUAUGAGUUAUUUGCCCAUAUAAAGUCUGUAAUGACCUAGUAUACUUUAAAAAAAUAAUGUCUUCGGAUGGGGUGAUUGAUAUUACAGAGAAUAAAUAUAGAAACUUUGGGAGCCAUCCCAUUCUGAAGAGGUUUAUUCUACCUGUAAGAUUUAAUGGAAGAUUGUUCCGUUAAAUUAGAUAUGUUUAUAUAAUAUAUCGUUAAGUAAUGGGAUAAAGUUAUCUUUAUAUAAUUGUUCAGGGGCGAAACUUUCACUGGGCACGGGGAUGGGAGACGGGGACAUGUCCCCCCCACUUUCUGAAAUUGCAUUUUUGUCCCCC